CAGUGGUGUGAGUGAUUUUUUAACCUAUGGUGUCAUUGACUAUUCGCAGCAAGGCUACUAGGUUUGACUGUACGUUCCCUUGGUGCCUAGCCAUUUGGGUCCUUGCUGUGUAUGUUGGCUUCAGUAGGUUCAGGUUCGCUGUUUGGAGUAGGAUGCACCUAAAUAGGAUCUAUCAAUCUUGGUAGAAAAGGAGAAGUUCUAUGCAAUUUGUGAG
rnacentral:lncRNA from 1 species